GUGCAGCAGUCGAGAAAACUUCACAAUGUGCGAAAGCACGAUGAGGGAAUCCCAAGUGCUUGCACGUAAGUGUAGGCUGUUUCUCUGUCUAAAACGCAGAGAGAGUAAGGGCUGGGUAAGACGGGUGCCAGCCGCCGCGGUAAUACCUGGCAGCUCGAGUGGUGACCGUUAUUAUUGGGGCCGUAAAACGUCCGUAGCCGGUUUAAUAAAUGCCUGGGUAAAUCGGACCGCUUAACGGUUUGAGUUCCGGGUAGACUGUUAAACUUGAGGACCGGGGAGAAGUUAGAGGGUACUCCUGGGGUAGAGGUGAAAUUCUGUAAUCCUAGGGGGACCACCAGUGGCGAAGGCGUCUAACUAGAACGGGUCUGACGGUGAGGGACGAAGCCCUGGGGCGCAAACGGGGAUU
rnacentral:rRNA from 1 species